rnacentral:misc_RNA from 1 species
GAUGAAGAACGUAGCGAAAUGCGAUAAGUAAUGUGAAUUGCAGAAUUCAGUGAAUCAUCGAAUCUUUGAACGCACAUUGCGCCCGCGAGUAUUCUCGCGGGCAUGCCUGUCCGAGCGUCAUUUCAACCCUCAGGGCCCGCCUGCUUGCAGGCGCGGCGCUGGUGUUGGGGAUCGGCUACCCUGCCGUCCCCCAAAUACAGUGGCGGUCUCGCUGCAGCCUCCCCUGCGUAGUAGCAACACUCGCAUGCGGAGCGCGGCGCGGCCACGCCGUAAACCCCCGACUUUCUGAACGUUGACCUCGGAUCAGGUAGGAAUACCCGCUGAACUUAAGCAUAUCAAUAAGCGGAGGA